rnacentral:rRNA from 1 species
AAUAAUGAAUGGUCCAGGGUAGGCAAAAACUAAUAGCUCUUUUAUGAUUAUGUGAUAGGUGGUGCAUGGCCGUUCUUAGUUCGUGGAGUGAUCUGUCUGCUUAAUUGCGUUUCAAAACAACUGAUACACAGAGUCUUGGCACAGUUCAGUUUAAUGGCGUCGAGUAUCUUUGAUUUCGACAGUAGUCCAACUCGGUUCGCCAGGGUCUCUUUUGAACGCAACGGACGUGAUCGCAACCCUUUGUUGAGUGAUGUCAGCACUCUACGUCUAUCCUAGCUCGUUGAUCGCAAGUGAGAGUUGGGUGGGCAAACUCAGGGGACAGCUUCAACUAUUCUUCUUCAAACUAGAGGAAGGUUGCGGCAAUAACAGGUCUGUGAUGCCCUCAGAUGUUCUAGGCUGCACACGUGCUACAUUGAUCAGCACAAUGCGAUACAUUUCGAAAGGAAACAUCGGUUUUAAGGUAACGUCGAUUGCCUACCGAUAGCACCUGGUCCUCAGUGGACUGGGCAAUCUCUUCUAAAUGCUGGUAAGGUACCCACACUCGAGCUAUUUAAUCACACGCGGGAGGCACACACGGUUCAAAUCUCAUUUGCGACUGUUGCCGCCAUGACGUAUGCAACUUGUCAACUCUUCGUGGGGAUCGUCGAUUGCAACUAUUCGACUCGCCACAACUAGGAAUGCCUCGUACGGGUCUUGGUUCACCAUACCGCCCGGAAUAC